rnacentral:rRNA from 1 species
UGAGGAAUUUUCGGCAAUGGGGGAAACCCUGACCGAGCAACGCCGCGUGCAGGAGGACGCUUUUCGGAGUGUAAACUGCUUUUCUGUGGGACGAGUUUGGACGGUACCACAGGAAGAAGCCCCGGCUAACUACGUGCCAGCAGCCGCGGUAAUACGUAGGGGGCGAGCGUUGUCCGGAGUUACUGGGCGUAAAGGGCAUGCAGGCGGUCAGGCGCGUUUUGUGUGACAGCGGAUGGCUUAACUGUCCGAGGAUACGAAAGACGGCGUGACUUGAGAGCGCGAGAGGGACACGGAAUUCCGGGUGGAGUGGUGAAAUGCGUAGAGAUCCGGAGGAACACCGAAGGCGAAGGCAGUGUCCUGGCGUGCAUCUGACGCUGAGGUGCGAAAGCCAGGGGAGCGAACG